UAGAGCCCUUGACCUUAGGGAUGAAAUGUUACAAUGAUUAGAGCAGUGUCUGGAGCAAUAAAUGGAUCAUAUUCAAGCAUAUAGAGAUGUUUCAAAGAAUUUGCAAAUCAUGUUGAUGCUUUAAGAAUUAAUACCAUCAGGGAUAGGGUUGAAAAUAGAAGGCUAGGGGAUGGUGUAGCGGCAAGUUCUUACACGUAGGUAAUAUGCCCACUAUGAAAGAUUCAAAAGAGAACGUCUAUGACUAUCACGCCCAAAUUCCUACCAUAUUACUAUUCACUAUUAUUGUUUGCAUUAUAGAAUUUAUUUGUCCAUGAUUCCCUCAUAUAAUUUGAAAUAUUUCUUCAUGUUAAGUGAUUUGGAUCUAACAGAAUUCCAACAGA
rnacentral:misc_RNA from 1 species